rnacentral:rRNA from 1 species
GACGAACGCUGGCGGCGUGCUUAACACAUGCAAGUCGAACGGUAAGGCCCUUCGGGGUACACGAGUGGCGAACGGGUGAGUAACACGUGGGUGAUCUGCCCUGCACUUCGGGAUAAGCCUGGGAAACUGGGUCUAAUACCGGAUAGGACCACUGCCUGCAUGGGGGGUGGUGGAAAGCUUUUGCGGUGUGGGAUGGGCCCGCGGCCUAUCAGCUUGUUGGUGGGGUGAUGGCCUACCAAGGCGACGACGGGUAGCCGGCCUGAGAGGGUGACCGGCCACACUGGGACUGGGAUACGGCCCAGACUCCUACGGGAGGCAGCAGUGGGGAAUAUUGCACAAUGGGCGCAAGCCUGAUGCAGCGACGCUGCGUGAGGGAUGACGGCCUUCGGGUUGUAAACCUCUUUCAGCAUCGACGAAGCGAAAGUGACGGUAGGUGCAGAAGAAGGACCGGCCAACUACGUGCCAGCCGCCGCAGUAA